rnacentral:rRNA from 1 species
AAUAAAUACCCGGUAGUCCACGCCGUAAACGAUGAGUGCUAAGUGUUAGGGGGUUUCCGCCCCUUAGUGCUGCAGCUAACGCAUUAAGCACUCCGCCUGGGGAGUACGGUCGCAAGACUGAAACUCAAAGGAAUUGACGGGGGCCCGCACAAGCGGUGGAGCAUGUGGUUUAAUUCGAAGCAACGCGAAGAACCUUACCAGGUCUUGACAUCCCAUUGACCACUAUGGAGACAUAGUUUCCCCUUCGGGGACAACGGUGACAGGUGGUGCAUGGUUGUCGUCAGCUCGUGUCGUGAGAUGUUGGGUUAAGUCCCGCAACGAGCGCAACCCUUGUUCUUAGUUGCCAUCAUUUAGUUGGGCACUCUAAGGAGACUGCCGGUGACAAACCGGAGGAAGGUGGGGAUGACGUCAAAUCAUCAUGCCCCUUAUGACCUGGGCUACACACGUGCUACAAUGGACGGUACAAACGGUUGCCAACCCGCGAGGGGGAGCUAAUCCGAUAAAACCGUUCUCAGUUCGGAUUGUAGGCUGCAACUCGCCUACAUGAAGCCGGAA